rnacentral:tRNA from 1 species
UGGGAUGUAGCUCAGUAGUAGAGGGCCUGCCUAUCAUGCAAGAGGCCCUGGGUUCCAUUCCCAGCACUGCAA